AAAAUAUUGAUUGAGACAGUGAAAACUUCUAACUCCUCAGCUAUCAAGAGAAAAGAUUAAUAUUAAUUCAUAUGUUUGUUAUAAGACAUUCCUAUAUUGGGCAACUCAUUCAUGUAACAGCUCGAUUGUUGACCAUUCAUCCAAUCAUGGCUACAAUAUAAAGCAGAGGAAGUUCAGUUUUUUUCUUCUUAUAACAGUGAUAAAGAUGAAAUUUGGGAAAGAAUAUGUAUCCCAAAUGGUGCAUGAGUGGCAAGAAGCCUAUAUGGAUUAUAAUCAUCUUAAAAGUCUUUUGAUGGAAAUCUUGAAUUUCAAGAAGAAAAAUGCACCAUUACCUGAAGUUGCAGCCACUCCAAGAGGGUCCUUAAAGAGAAGGGUAUCUAUGUACAGAGCAUUUAGUGGAUUACAAAUUAGAUACAACAGUUUCAAAGGGAAAAACAAUCAUGAAGAUGAAGUGAUAGUAGUGAAUUCAGUGCAGCAAGAGGGAUCUGAAUCCCACUAUGAAACCACCUUCCUUGUGUCUUGUGAAGAAGGCGGAGAAUGUGAGCUGAAUUUCUUUAGGUCAUUAGAUGAUGAAUUUAACAAGGUGUUAACUUUUUACAAGAAAAAAGUAGGGGAAGUUAAGGUGGAGGCUGAAGCAUUGAGUAAACAAAUGGAUGCACUUAUUGCUCUAAGAAUCAAAGUUGAUAAGAUUUCAAUCGUAGACCAAGUCAUCGAUACUUUUAGCAAUGAUGAUACUGUUUUGUCUCCAGCAUCAGUGGAUCCUAUGCAUUUUAGUAGUCCAGGUAGACCACAUAUGGAGGCAAUUCAAGAAGUUGAGAUGAACAACGAAGAAAUAGUACUGGAAGAGAAAGCAAAAAUAGGGAAAAGAGAUACUACAGAGAUGAAUCCCCGCGAUUUUAGGCCUGCUCCAGUAGAGGUUCUUGACUAUGUAAAAAUCAAUAUUGAACCAGAAACACCUAUCUCGACUUUAAGAUGUAUCAUGACUUCAAAACCAAACCUAUCAUUCAGCAAAGAAGAGCUCAGAAAAGUCGAAGAACAAAUGAAAAAGGCUUUUGUUGAGUUCUAUCAAAAGCUGAGACUUCUAAAAAGAUACAGUUCCUUAAAUGUAUUGGCAUUUUCCAAGAUCAUGAAGAAGUAUGAUAAGAUCAGUUCAAGGAAAGCUUCUAAAUCAUACUUAGAGGUGAUUGAAAAAUCUUAUCUUCGUAGUUCGGAUGAGGUUUUGAAGCUCAUGGAAGGAGUGGAAGUUACUUUCAUAAAGCAUUUUGUUGAUGGAAAUCGAAAGAAAGGAAUGAAAUAUUUAAGACCACAAGCACAACGAGAAACACAUAGAGUAACAUUUCUUCUUGGUUUGUUCUCUGGCUGCUCAUUAGCAUUAGUAGCAGCAAUUGCUGUAUCAAUACGUGCAGGAACUCUUCUAGAGAAUGAGAAUCGAGGACAGUAUAUGGAAAACAUAUUUCCACUGUACAGCCUAUUUGGAUUCGUUGUCCUGCAUAUAGUCAUGUACGGGGCAAAUAUAUACUAUUGGAGGCGUUUUCGAGUCAAUUAUCCCUUCAUAUUUGGCUUCAAGCAGGGAACAGAGUUAGGUUACAGACAAGUUCUCCUCCUUGCUUCUGGUCUUUCGUUACUUGCAUUGGCUGCAGCACUCUAUCAUCUGGAUAUGGAUAUUGAUCCGAAAACACAGAGUUUUCAGACACUGACUGAGCUGACCCCACUUGCCCUGGUGAUUAUUCUGCUUAUAGUAACUUUUCUUCCUCUGAACAUCAUAUAUCGUUCAAGUCGUUUCUUCUUUAUAAAAUGUGUGUGGCGCUGUCUGUUGGCUCCACUUUAUAAGGUUACUCUACCAGAUUUUUUCUUGGCAGAUCAACUUACCAGCCAGGUUCAGGCAAUUAGGAGUUUACAAUUCUAUGUGUGCUACUAUGGGUGGGGCAACUUCACAGAAAGAUCAAAUACAUGUCAAGAGAGCAAAAUUUACCCAAUCUUAUACAUAUUCCUUGCAAUAAUUCCCUUUUGGUCUCGGUUUAUUCAGUGUCUUCGUCGCGUAUUUGAAGAGAAAGAUUUGAUGCAGGGGUUUAAUAGCCUUAAAUAUUUAUCAACAAUUGUUGCUCUUGUAAUGAGGACACUAUAUGAUCAGAAGAGAGGUACGUUUUGGAGAGUAAUGGCAGCAUCAACUUCAGGAAUUACUACAGUUGGAAACACUUAUUGGGACCUUGUGAUCGAUUGGGGUUUAUUGCAAAGGAAUUCGAAAAAUCCGUGGUUGAGAGACAAGCUACUUGUGCCAUACAAGACUGUCUACUUUGUUGCCAUUUGCAGGUUCUUAACAUUAUUUUGAGACUAGUAUGGAUGCAGUUGGUUCUAGAUUUUCAACAACUACCUUUUUUGCAUAGGAGAGCAUUUAUUGCAAUUGUUGCCUGUUUGGAAAUCCUUCGCAGAGGCAUGUGGAACUUUUUCAGGUUGGAAAAUGAACACUUAAAUAAUGUUGGGAAAUAUCGUGCCUCCAAGUCUGUACCCCUGCCUUUCAACUACGACGAAGACAAGAGUAUGUAGAAUGGAAAUCAAAGGAAUCAGCUUCUUUGUAAUAAAGUUUUGUUAAUGAAAUUAGAGAGUGAAAAGACAAAUUGAAUCCAUAUUGACAUGACAAUAGUAAUUAUUAAUCAGAAGGCUGAAAAUUUUAGGUCAUUCAACACCAAGAGUUUCAAAAUUCUAUUUGUUAGUAUUAUGUAGAAUAACACUUUACCCAUUGUUACCUAUUGUACUGUACUGUUAUCAUACAUAUCAUAUCAUGUAUUGUUACUUAAAAUGUAUUAUAUUGUAUUGUUAAA